AUAGGGGAGCCGGAGGGAAACCGAGUCUUAAUUGGGCGUUAAGUUGCAGGGUAUAGACCCGAAACCCGGUGAUCUAGCCAUGGGCAGGUUGAAGGUUGGGUAACACUAACUGGAGGACCGAACCGACUAAUGUUGAAAAAUUAGCGGAUGACCUGUGGCUGGGGGUGAAAGGCCAAUCAAACCGGGAGAUAGCUGGUUCUCCCCGAAAGCUAUUUAGGUAGCGCCUCGUGAAUUCAUCUCCGGGGGUAGAGCACUGUUUCGGCUAGGGGGCCAUCCCGGCUUACCAACCCGAUGCAAACUGCGAAUACCGGAGAAUGUUAUCACGGGAGACACACGGCGGGUGCUAACGUCCGUCGUGAAGAGGGAAACAACCCAGACCGCCAGCUAAGGUCCCAAAGUCAUGGUUAAGUGGGAAACGAUGUGGGAAGGCCCAGACAGCCAGGAUGUUGGCUUAGAAGCAGCCAUCAUUUAAAGAAAGCGUAAUAGCUCACUGGUCGAGUCGGCCUGCGCGGAAGAUGUAACGGGGCUAAACCAUGCACCGAAGCUGCGGCAGCGACGCUGAUGCGUUGUUGGGUAGGGGAGCGUUCUGUAAGCCUGCGAAGGUGGCCUGUGAGGGUUGCUGGAGGUAUCAGAAGUGCGAAUGCUGACAUAAGUAACGAUAAAGCGGGUGAAAAGCCCGCUCGCCGGAAGACCAAGGGUUCCUGUCCAACGUUAAUCGGGGCAGGGUGAGUCGACCCCUAAGGCGAGGCCGAAAGGCGUAGUCGAUGGGAAACGGGUUAAUAUUCCCGUACUUGGUGUUACUGCGAAGGGGGGACGGAGAAGGCUAUGUUGGCCGGGCGACGGUUGUCCCGGUUUAAGCGUGUAGGUGUGUGUUCCAGGUAAAUCCGGUUCACUUUAACACUGAGGCGUGAUGACGAGGCACUACGGUGCUGAAGCAACAAAUGCCCUGCUUCCAGGAAAAGCCUCUAAGCAUCAGGUAACAUCAAAUCGUACCCCAAACCGACACAGGUGGUCAGGUAGAGAAUACCAAGGCGCUUGAGAGAACUCGGGUGAAGGAACUAGGCAAAAUGGUGCCGUAACUUCGGGAGAAGGCACGCUGACACGUAGGUGAAGUGAUUUACUCAUGGAGCUGAAGUCAGUCGAAGAUACCAGCUGGCUGCAACUGUUUAUUAAAAACACAGCACUGUGCAAACACGAAAGUGGACGUAUACGGUGUGACGCCUGCCCGGUGCCGGAAGGUUAAUUGAUGGGGUCAGCGCAAGCGAAGCUCCUGAUCGAAGCCCCGGUAAACGGCGGCCGUAACUAUAACGGUCCUAAGGUAGCGAAAUUCCUUGUCGGGUAAGUUCCGACCUGCACGAAUGGCGUAAUGAUGGCCAGGCUGUCUCCACCCGAGACUCAGUGAAAUUGAACUCGCUGUGAAGAUGCAGUGUACCCGCGGCAAGACGGAAAGACCCCGUGAACCUUUACUAUAGCUUGACACUGAACAUUGAGCCUUGAUGUGUAGGAUAGGUGGGAGGCUUUGAAGUGUGGACGCCAGUCUGCAUGGAGCCGACCUUGAAAUACCACCCUUUAAUGUUUGAUGUUCUAACGUGGACCCGUAAUCCGGGUUGCGGACAGUGUCUGGUGGGUAGUUUGACUGGGGCGGUCUCCUCCUAAAGAGUAACGGAGGAGCACGAAGGUUGGCUAAUCCUGGUCGGACAUCAGGAGGUUAGUGCAAUGGCAUAAGCCAGCUUGACUGCGAGCGUGACGGCGCGAGCAGGUGCGAAAGCAGGUCAUAGUGAUCCGGUGGUUCUGAAUGGAAGGGCCAUCGCUCAACGGAUAAAAGGUACUCCGGGGAUAACAGGCUGAUACCGCCCAAGAGUUCAUAUCGACGGCGGUGUUUGGCACCUCGAUGUCGGCUCAUCACAUCCUGGGGCUGAAGUAGGUCCCAAGGGUAUGGCUGUUCGCCAUUUAAAGUGGUACGCGAGCUGGGUUUAGAACGUCGUGAGACAGUUCGGUCCCUAUCUGCCGUGGGCGCUGGAGAACUGAGGGGGGCUGCUCCUAGUACGAGAGGACCGGAGUGGACGCAUCACUGGUGUUCGGGUUGUCAUGCCAAUGGCACUGCCCGGUAGCUAAAUGCGGAAGAGAUAAGUGCUGAAAGCAUCUAAGCACGAAACUUGCCCCGAGAUGAGUUCU
rnacentral:rRNA from 1 species